UACAGAGGUCUCAAGCGUUGUUCGGAUUCAUUGGGCGUAAAGGGUGUCGUAGAGGCGCGUAAGUCGGGUGUGAAAUCUCGGAGCUUAACUCCGAAACUGCAUUCGAUACUGCGGUGCUUUGAGGACUGGAGAGGAGACUGGAAUUCAUGGUGUAGCAGUGAAAUGCGUAGAGAUCAUGAGGAAGACCAGUGGCGAAGGCGGGUCUCUGGACAGUUCCUGACACUGAGACACGAAGGCCAGGGAGCAACGGG
rnacentral:rRNA from 1 species